CCCAAUUCGGCCUUUUGGCUAAGAUCAAGUGUAGUAUCUGUUCUUAUUCAAAUACAUUUCUUGCAAACAGCAGGAGGUUGGAUUCAGUUUUUUAAAAUUCAUUUUGCUACCCUGUGUCUCUUAAUUGACUAGUUUCAAUCACUGACAUUGAGAGAGACUAUUGUCAUGGAUUUUAUGCCAUCUCUCUAUAAAA